AUUGAACGCUGGCGGCGUGCUUAACACAUGCAAGUCGAUCGGUAACGCGGGGGCAACCCUGGCGACGAGAGGCGGACGGGUGAGGAACGCUUGGGAAUCUGCCUAUCAGCGGGGGACAACACGGGGAAACUCGUGCUAAUACCGCAUACGCUCUACGGAGGAAAGCCGGGGACCGCAAGGCCUGGCACUGAUAGAUGAGCCCAAGCCGGAUUAGCUAGUUGGCGGGGUAACGGCCCACCAAGGCGACGAUCCGUAGCUGGUCUGAGAGGACGAUCAGCCACAAGGGGACUGAGACACGGCCCAGACUCCUACGGGAGGCAGCAGUGGGGAAUACUGGACAAUGGGGGAAACCCUGAUCCAGCGACGCCGCGUGGGUGAAGAAGGCCUGCGGGUUGUAAAGCCCUUUCGGUAGGGACGAAAGCUCUCGACCUAACACGUCGGGAGGUUGACUUAACCUACAAAAGAAGCACCGGCUAACUCUGUGCCAGCAGCCGCAGUAACAC
rnacentral:rRNA from 1 species